AUCGCUUCUCGCCUUUUGGCUAAGAUCAUGUGUAGUAUCUGUUCUUUUCAGCUUAAUAUCUGAAACGCGACUCACCGAGUCGCUUGUAUAUUAAACUGAUUUUUGAACUUAGGCCAUGGAAUAGGGGCUUGCUCCGUCCUGGCCACGGGUUGGCCCGGUAUUGCAGUACCUCCGGGAUCGGCCCACCCCUC